UUGAACGCUGGCGGCAUGCUUUACACAUGCAAGUCGAACGGCAGCGGGGGCUUCGGCCUGCCGGCGAGUGGCGAACGGGUGAGUAAUGCAUCGGAACGUACCCAGUCGUGGGGGAUAACUACGCGAAAGCGUGGCUAAUACCGCAUACGCCCUGAGGGGGAAAGCGGGGGACCUUCGGGCCUCGCGCGAUUGGAGCGGCUGAUGUCGGAUUAGCUGGUUGGUGGGGUAAAGGCCUACCAAGGCGACGAUCCGUAGCUGGUCUGAGAGGAUGAUCAGCCACACUGGGACUGAGACACGGCCCAGACUCCUACGGGAGGCAGCAGUGGGGAAUUUUGGACAAUGGGCGCAAGCCUGAUCCAGCAAUGCCGCGUGCAGGAAGAAGGCCUUCGGGUUGUAAACUGCUUUUGUCAGGGAAGAAAUCCUCUGGGUUAAUACCUCGGGGGGAUGACGGUACCUGAAGAAUAAGCACCGGCUAACUACGU
rnacentral:rRNA from 1 species